AGCGAACGCUGGCGGCAGGCUUAACACAUGCAAGUCGAGCGCCCCGCCAGGGGAGCGGCAGACGGGAGAGUAACACGUGGGAACAUACCUUUUGGUUCGGAACAACUGAGGGAAACUUCAGCUAAUACCGGAUAAGCCUUACGGGGAAAGAUUUAUCGCCGAAAGAUUGGCCCGCGUCUGAUUAGCUAGUUGGUGAGGUAACGGCUCACCAAGGCGACGAUCAGUAGCUGGUCUGAGAGGAUGAUCAGCCUCACUGGGACUGAGACACGGCCCAGACUCCUACGGGAGGCAGCAGUGGGGAAUAUUGGACAAUGGGGGCAACCCUGAUCCAGCCAUGCCGCGUGAGUGAUGAAGGCCUUAGGGUUGUAAAGCUCUUUUGCCCGGGAAGAUAAUGACGGUACCGGGAGAAUAAGCCCCGGCUAACUUCGUG
rnacentral:rRNA from 1 species